AGUGAACGCUGGCGGUAGGCCUAACACAUGCAAGUCGAACGACAGCACAGUAAGAGCUUGCUCUUACGGGUGGCGAGUGGCGGACGGGUGAGGAAUACAUCGGAAUCUACUUUUUCGUGGGGGAUAACGUAGGGAAACUUACGCUAAUACCGCAUACGACCUACGGGUGAAAGCAGGGGAUCUUCGGACCUUGUGCGAUUGAAUGAGCCGAUGUCGGAUUAGCUAGUUGGCGGGGUAAAGGCCCACCAAGGCGACGAUCCGUAGCUGGUCUGAGAGGAUGAUCAGCCACACUGGAACUGAGACACGGUCCAGACUCCUACGGGAGGCAGCAGUGGGGAAUAUUGGACAAUGGGCGCAAGCCUGAUCCAGCCAUACCGCGUGGGUGAAGAAGGCCUUCGGGUUGUAAAGCCCUUUUGUUGGGAAAGAAAAGCAGCAGGUUAAUACCCCGCUGUUCUGACGGUACCCAAAGAAUAAGCACCGGCUAACUUCGUG
rnacentral:rRNA from 1 species